AGAGUUUGAUCCUGGCUCAGAACGAACGCUGGCGGCAGGCUUAACACAUGCAAGUCGAGCGCCCCGCAAGGGGAGCGGCAGACGGGUGAGUAACGCGUGGGAACGUACCCUCCGGUUCGGAAUAACUCAGGGAAACUUGAGCUAAUGCCGGAUACGGCUGAGAGGCGAAAGAUUUAUCGCCGGGGGGAUCGGCCCGCGUCCGAUUAGCUAGUUGGUGGGGUAACGGCUCACCAAGGCGACGAUCGGUAGCUGGUCUGAGAGGAUGAUCAGCCACAUUGGGACUGAGACACGGCCCAAACUCCUACGGGAGGCAGCAGUGGGGAAUAUUGGACAAUGGGCGCAAGCCUGAUCCAGCCAUGCCGCGUGAGUGAUGACGGCCUUAGGGUUGUAAAGCUCUUUCGCCAGGGACGAUAAUGACGGUACCUGGAUAAGAAGCCCCGGCUAACUUCGUGCCAGCAGCCGCGGUAAUACGAAGGGGGCUAGCGUUGUUCGGAAUUACUGGGCGUAAAGCGCGUGUAGGCGGGUCUUUAAGUCAGGGGUGAAAUGCCAAGGCUCAACCUUGGAACUGCCUUUGAUACUGGAGAUCUUGAGUCCGGGAGAGGUGAGUGGAACUGCGAGUGUAGAGGUGAAAUUCGUAGAUAUUCGCAAGAACACCAGUGGCGAAGGCGGCUCACUGGCCCGGAACUGACGCUGAGACGCGAAAGCGUGGGGAGCAAACAGGAUUAGAUACCCUGGUAGUCCACGCUGUAAACGAUGGAUGCUAGCCGUUGGGGAGCUUGCUCUUCAGUGGCGCCGCUAACGCAUUAAGCAUCCCG
rnacentral:rRNA from 1 species